rnacentral:rRNA from 1 species
CGCAUCUGUGCAUGCAGCAUAUCAAUAAGCGGAGGAAAAGAAACUAACAAGGAUUCCCUUAGUAACGGCGAGUGAAGCGGGAAGAGCUCAAAUUUGAAAUCUUCAAGGUUUUACCUUGACGAAUUGUAGUUUAAAGAAGUGUUUUCUGUUGAAGUUUUGGUAAAAGUUCUUUGGAAUAGGACAUCAUAGAGGGUGAGAAUCCCGUAUUUGACCAUUAUUUUCAGCUGUGUGAUACACUUUCAAAGAGUCGGAUUGUUUGGGAAUGCAGUCCAAAAUGGGUGGUAAAUUUCAUCUAAAGCUAAAUAUUGGCGAGAGACCGAUAGCGAACAAGUACCGUGAGGGAAAGAUGAAAAGAACUUUGAAAAGAGAGUUAAACAGUACGUGAAAUUGUCAAAAGGGAAGCGUUUGACACCAGUGUUGUUUUCUCGAAAAUCAAUUAAAAAGAGUUUGAUUUUGUUGUGUAUUGACCUUAACAGCUUGCAUUUCAAUUUUCUUGCUUUUUUUAAUGCACUUUUCGUUUAACAAGUCAACAUCAGUUUCUUUUGUUGUAAAAUGGUCAUUGGAAGGUGGCUUUCUUUUCGGAGAAAGUGUUUAUAGCCUUUGACUCCUGCAAUCGGAGAGACUGAGGUCUGCAGCGUAGAUCCUUCGGGGUUAGAUACAUUUGUGCUAAGUUAUAGCUUUUUAUAGACAACUUGUUGACUAUGAUUAGUCUUGUAGCUUACUCGCUUAUGCUAUUUUACCUACGCUUAGGAUGUUGACGCGCGUGUGUGCGUG